rnacentral:lncRNA from 1 species
CUGAGAGAUGGUAGAUAGAUUUGAGCUCUUUUGAAUUCCCUCGUAAAAACAAACAUUGCAACUAGAUAACAAAGCCAAAACCAAACAAUAUAGAUAAACAAGACAACAGAGUAUCCUCACAAGCCUCAACAUACAAGUAGGUGGUGAAAACAAGUCAUCUGUAGUCACAAAUUCCCAUAAAUUCUCAUAACUGAUCCACUCGGGCUCCCUUCAAGUGCAAGGUCUCAUACUGAAGACAAACCGCUGGAAAGAAACAAAAUUGGGCAGCAUAGGAACAACUGAGAUGAAGGAAAAAAGGUCUAUAUAAAAGGGAGGAGGACAGAGCUGGGAACUGCCCCAAGCAAGCCAUCAGAGUUUUGCUAGUAUAUGAAAACAGCAGAAAAAGGAGCUCAAAAGAAGUUAGAAAGGGUAUCUGAACCAAAUCUUCAAAGAAGUCAUGAAAAUUAAAUCCACAUAAAAAUGAACAUUAGAAAACUAUUGAAGUCAAAUGCCAUAGAAGUAACUAUCAGAAAAGAUGACAAUAAGAAACAGAAUAACCCUGCAGGCAAAGAAACCAUGCUAGAAAGACGUUCUCAAGAUAUAUGCAGACUGAAGCAUACCAUUUCAAAAUGAGCUGAAAGACAUUAAAAAAAGAUACAAGAUAUGAAAAAACAACAAAAAUCUGAAUUAGGAAAACUCAGAAAUUAGCUGAUAUUGCUCAAAAAAGAAAGAAAAGAAAAAAUAUUUCAGAACUGAUGAAUGAACUAGAAGAGAAAACACAACACACAUACAGACACCAAACACGACAAAUAAUGCCUUAAGAGAAAAAGUAGACUAAAAGAUAAAAAAUAAAAUAAAAGGUUAAAAAUAAAAUGAAGAGAUAAAAAGGAUUUGAGAGAAAAUGACAAAUACUGAAGAUAUGAAGAGUCAACAUUCAGAUAUAGGAGUCCCUUAAAAAAACAGGAAAUCUAGGGAAUAGAAUAAAUAUUAAAAACUUGCUGAAAAUAUUGUUGUGAAAUAUACAUUAAAAGAGCACAUUGUUACCUGAGAAUAUCAAAGCAGAACAACCAAGACCAAGACAUAUUCUAGUAAAAUUACUAGACUUUUAAAGAAAAGAAAAAAUCCUUUGGGAAUCUGGGGAAAAGAGCAUAUAUUUUAUAAGGGCAUCAAAAUUAUAUUAUCAUCAGAUUUUUUUUAACAACAAUGCUUUAUGCCAAAAGAAACAAAGUAAUCUAUUUCAGGUACUUAAAUGGGUUAAAGCAUAAGUGAGAGAAAGAAAAUGAGUAAUUAUGAUAUAGUCUAAAUCUGUCAUUUCUUACGACCUUGAGACCCAGGAUUCUCUGGCUAGAAAAAAGGAGAUACAGAUGUAAAAUAAAAAAGGUUAAGUAACAAGCCUAUAAUCUUGAAUUUGUAAAAUCCUAAGAAAAAAUCACCAACCAUAGCAAAUAGCAACCCCAGUUUCCAGAGUAUUGUUUUGACAUACUAUUUUCUUUUUAAAAAACCAGGGCUUCUUCAAGAAAUGACUGAUUCCAGGUCUACAGUAGAAAAUGUACUAGAAUAUCUUGAAGUACUGUAUAGCAGAGAAACAAGCAAAGAUUACAAGGGUCAUGUCAAAGGGAUUCAGAAGUCAAAUUGAGGCUCUCGCUAGCCAUAGAUUGUAUAAAAGUUACAAUGGAUUGAAACCAACCAAAUGUGUUUAAAUUUCCCCACUGUACAUAGUUGUGUAUUCCACUUGUGAGUGCCUCUUGUUGUGCUAUAUGGGAUGCUGCCUCAACAAGACCUGAUGAGUGAUGCCGUGUCCCUGUCCAGGAUCUGAACCGGCGAAACCCUGGGCUGCCAAAGCAGAGCACACGAACAACUACUCAGCCAUGGGGCUGGCCCCUGGGUAUUGUUUUAAGGCACCAAGUUUGUGGUAAUUUGUUACAGCAGCCAUAGGAAACUAAUACAGUCACAAAUCAUUAUCUUAAAAACACAAAUAAAAGGAAAGAAGCAAGCAUUCAUUUCACCCUUCCUAAUGAACCAUGCUACUUGGUAAAUGAUAAAUGAGGGAGUGUAUUCUUAUAAAUUUAUUCCAACUAAUAAAUAAAAACAUUGGGAUACCACUAUUUUGCAAAUACCAGUGAAUUAAUGAAUCUAGA